UACGAAGGGGGCUAGCGUUGUUCGGAAUUACUGGGCGUAAAGCGCUCGUAGGCGGACAUUUAAGUCAGGGGUGAAAUCCCAGAGCUCAACUCUGGAACUGCCUUUGAUACUGGGUGUCUUGAGUAUGGAAGAGGUGAGUGGAAUUCCGAGUGUAGAGGUGAAAUUCGUAGAUAUUCGGAGGAACACCAGUGGCGAAGGCGGCUCACUGGACCGGUAUUGACGCUGAGGUGCGAAAGCGUGGGGAGCAAACAGG
rnacentral:rRNA from 1 species